rnacentral:rRNA from 1 species
UUUAAAUUGCUGUGGUAUUUUGACUAUACAAAGGUAUUGUAAUAAGAUUUUAAUUGAAUGCUAAAAGAAUGGAUUAACAGAUAAAUACUUUCUUUAAUUUAAAAAUUAAAUUUAUUAUUUUUUGUGCAGAAACAAAAAUAAAAAUUAAGGACAAGAAGACCCUAAGAAUUUUAAUUUGAUUUAAAUAAUUUAUAUUUCUUAAUCAAAUUUAAUUGGGGCGAUUGAAAAAUAUUUUUAACUUUUUUUUAAAAAAAAUAUGAACCAUUAAUAAUGGUAAUAUGAAAAAAUACUCUAGGGAUAACAGCGUAAUAAUUUUUGAUAGUUCAUAUAGACAAAAUAGUUUGCGACCUCGAUGUUGGAUUAGGAUUCUAAUUUAAUGAAGAAGUUAAAUUAAGAAGU